rnacentral:rRNA from 1 species
UACGUAGGCAGCGAGCGUUAAUCGGAAUUACUGGGCGUAAAGCGUGCGCAGGCGGUUUUGUAAGUCAGAUGUGAAAUCCCCGGGCUUAACCUGGGAACUGCGUUUGAAACUACAAGGCUAGAGUGUGACAGAGGGGGGUGGAAUUCCACGUGUAGCAGUGAAAUGCGUAGAGAUGUGGAGGAACACCGAUGGCGAAGGCAGCCCCCUGGGUUAACACUGACGCUCAGGCACGAAAGCGUGGGGAGCAAACAGG